rnacentral:misc_RNA from 1 species
UAGGCGCAAGCCAUUUUUUGAAGGAUAUAUCAAAAUUUGGCAAAUGUGAGAAUUAUUAAUAAAAAAAUGUCAAUCUAAAACAUAACACAAGAAAAACAAUGACAACUGAGUUUAGCUCGCGUAAUACGUUUCGAAAAACGGGCGUUAGUGGAUUAAACAACAAUGCUCGUAAUGUUAUUACUUCUGCAAAUCCAUCUGGGGGGAGCAGCGCAUCCCUUCUCCAAAAACAGCUCUCAUUUAAAACCCCUAUUUGUUCCAACCAAUUUGGUAAAGCUGAUGAUGUUGAAAUUAUCGACAAUUCUAAUUUGGACAAUAUUGCAGGACGAUAUAACAAGAAUAAUAUUAUUGGUUGGAUAUGCUGCGCUCCUUGCAUAUGGCUGCGCACCUCAGCUGCAGUUCAUAAAGUGGCUAUAACGUCCGCAACUUUAUUGGUAACAACAUUACUGGUUGCUUCACCAAUAUUAUUUUUAAUCAGUACAGCACCCUCGCCACUUCCAAAAGAUUGUUAUAUGGAGGGCGAUGGCUGUUCGUCUACAAUUUCAUCUCCUUCAGAAUGUACGGAACCAAUUUGUGAAACAGUGGCUUCUAACAUUCAAGCAAGACUAAAUUGGAAUAAAGAUCCUUGUUCUGAAUUUAAGAAAUUUAGUUGUUGGCGCAAAACGUUCAAUAACAAUAUAACUAAUUUUAUUGAAAUGGGCAAUUCACAAAAGUCAGUGGAUAUGCAAAUACAAUUUCUUUUGCAGAGUUCGACAUUAAGUGGAAAUUAUAAGAAGCUACAAAGUUUAUAUGAAAGCUGCUUAAAGCUGACAACCAAUUCAAGCGCUAUACACCGUGUAUUUGCUUAUUUAGGAGGAUACCUAACAGUUGGUGUUUUAGGUCCUUCGUCAAUCGCUCCGCUUGUAGCCAAAAUCUAUGACCUUGGUCCAAGUCCACUUGUUGAUAUAUAUUACGAUCUUAGUUAUGGAAGAAGACCACAUGUGCUUCUUAUCAUAAGUGGACCAAGCACAUCAUCUGUUAUAUUAGAGAAUAAAAUUCGCUGGAUGAGCCCGAAAGCACCUCCAAAUCGCUUACGUCAAGGAAUACCCAAGCUAUUGCCAGAUUUAAUCGAUCAACUUCUACCAAGUUACUUAUCAUAUGCUCAACGAAUAUCUGAGAAAGACACAAUUUUAGAAUUUAUAAAGGAUCUGAACAAGCUUCAAGUUGAACAGUCACGCCGAGGUUUUUGGGAAAGCUCCGUUUUAUAUAAUGUAUCAAGUUUGCAGGCCAUGUAUCCAGUUGUAAGUAACCGUUUCAGCAAGUUAUUUUUUAAAAUAAGCUGUAUAUAAGAUGUGCCCUGAUUGACAAAUGGAUAUGAAUGGUAAAAAUAUAAUAACAUACAAUAUGGUAAGGAAAAUGAGAACAGUAAGACGUAUGGACAACUUUCUAAUAUCAUCAGCGACCGAUAGACGGUUCCAUUUGCCCAUCCGGCCAGCUAUGUCCCUUUUCACAACUAAUUUUUUCAGUGACUCUAAUAGAGUCUACAGCUAAGAGGGGUAGAAAAAGGUCGUUGGAAAAAGCGGAAUAGAAACUAUUGUUAUUUUUAUAUAACACGUGAAAAGGAUUGUGCAUAGCGCAAUCCGUUGUGUACGUUGUUAAGAACAAGGGGCGAUAAUUCCUGGUAGAUCUAGACGGAACAGAGAAUUGAAAACGACCAGAAACAAACAGAGAAAAGAGGAAUCUAUGUUGCCAACAAUCAACCUAUGCAGGAAGAUAACACGAGGAUUGUCCGAUGGUUGGUUAACCACUGAAGAUCAAGACUAAGCAGGCUGGUGGAGUAGGAUGGCAACAAAAGCUUGGGAUCCGAUUUUAAACCUAUUAAGGCUACUGAAGACAUUCAAUACGAUCCUGGCUAUUGUUAUACUGCGGAGACCAGCUGCAAGAGCAGUAUUCAAGGAUUGGGCGAACAAGAGAGUUUAUAGGAGUUUGGUUAUACAAGUAUCGUUAAUCUGUUUAGCCCUACGAUUAAUGAAUCCAAGUACACCACAUCGAAGGUAUCUUUAUAAAGAUUGAAGCAGGGUUUAACUUAACUCUGAAUUGGACUUUGCUAAUUCCAAAGGACUGGAGCGGAC